CGGGGGUCUGUUGUGUGGUGAGACAUUAUGGAUCAAGAGCACAUACUGAGGACUUUGGAAUAUAACAACUUGAUACAAGUGAGAUUUUCAAAACGUAUGAAGGAAUUGUGACAGUAUGCAAGAAAAAAGUGUUCUGGGGGAAUGUUAGGCUAACCCAACCCAGGUGUGACUUUCAAAGGCAGAGGGGUGGGUCAGUCGUUAGGACCAGCUGUGGGCAUGGGUUUAGGUUUAGAGGGCAGCUCAGCUUUUACUUUGGAUUUUGUAGAAGGGGCUGGAGAAACUGUGCUUGUCUGGAGCAUUUCUGCUGAUUAAGAGAGCUUUCUUUUAUCUCCAGAGGCUGAUCCCACUUAGACCCCUCCUAUGCCUGGUUUUGCCAUAAAUCCAGAACAAUAAUCCCCACUGUGCUGAAAUAUUCACAAGAGGAAUAUCACCGCUGUUAUUUAAGGAAUGCCACAAAAAAGAAGACAAGGAAAUGCGUGGAGCUCAAGUCUCGGGUGUGUUUGGGAAGAGGCAACAGCACAUCUGGGUACCUCACCCUGAGAAACCUGGGGGGCCGGGGAAGUGUAAGCCUGGCUGACACAGUGAAGUACCCAAUGAAGGAUGAGCUCUGUGUGUUUUACUUCUGGUUUAUGUUUCCAGGAAAUGUAUUUUCCCUUACUUCAAUGUGGAGGAUUUUCAGUGCAAUUGUUAUUCACAGCCAGGAGCACUGUUCUGUUGUGACUUGUUGUGGUUAGAGCGAUUGUCUUUACAGAACUCAAGCUUUUCCCAUCCCAAGUGCAAGCCAGCCUGAAAAUGGAGAGCUAAUAAAAACCUUGUUCCGAAUUCA
rnacentral:lncRNA from 1 species